GUCCCUCUCACUGGUUCCUGACUACCUCCCUCUCACACAAGUUUGCUCGCGGCCCUUUUCCCUCAGGACAGGUCCUGUCCUCCGCCUACUAGCCGCGUCCCCUCCUCUCCUCUCCGGACCUCCUCGGCCCCAGCCAGACGCGGCCCAAGCACCGGAGCUGUGCGAGCUCCAGCCAGUCCCUGGGCGGUGGAGGUGCCACAGAUGAAUCGGAGAAGGGCCCUCCGGCCGACCCGGGCGCUCCUCCCAGCGGAACCCUGGACUCCCAACACCAGGCUCCGUAAUUGACGCGGAAAGUGUGCCCCAGGCAGAAUUUAGGAGUCUCCGAGUAAGACAACCGUGUGAAGACGCGAGAAAAGGAGCAAAGAGAGAAGGCACAAGCUUCGGCCAUUCCGAUCCUUGCCAACAAGAGCGCCACUUCUGCUUACUAUGGACAGGUAAGAGAGAAAAAGGAGGGAGGUUAGCCAGGAACAUCCUUAGAAGUGAAGACUGCGGAGUCCAGUGGGAUGGCCUCCACUUAACCCCGGGUUCUUAGUUACAGUGGACCUUAUCUAGGGUUCUCGGCCUAGCCCCGAGUGCCCCCUUUGGAUGAAGCUGGGCAGCGGUAGCCGCUGGCUAGAGAAAAGGAAGAAGAGGCACAAGCGGGUCAAAACUCGGUCCGAAGCCUGUGUCUCGGUGGCAUCGCCAAGCUCAGAUGCCCGCGCUCCCUUCAGGGUCGCUACCCAGGAUCCCGCGUGGGUCUGAGAAGCCGACCGCCGCGGGAUGGAGCUGAGAAUCUGC